rnacentral:misc_RNA from 1 species
GUAGGUGAACCUGCGGAAGGAUCAUUAACACUUUUUAUUUUUUUAUUUUUUUUGGGGAACUUUUUCCACAGAAAAAAAAUAAAAAUAAUACACCCCUCAUUCUAAUGAAUUUCUAGAUGAUCGAGGAUUUUAUUUUUUUAUAAAAUAAAUUAUAAAAUCUUUCCUGAUCAUUUUUUUUUCAACAACCAAAAAAUUUUAACCCCAAAACUUUUUCUAAAAAUUAUUUAAAAACUAACAUAUUAUUUUGUUAAUUGAUUGAAAUCAAAAAAAACAACUCUUAACAACGGAUAUCUUGGCUCUC